GACGAACGCUGGCGGCGUGCCUAAUACAUGCAAGUCGAACGCAGUGGGGACGGGUGAGUAACACGUGGGUAACCUCCCAUCAGAGGGGAUAACACUUGGAAACAGGUGCUAAACCGAUACUGAUGGAUGGACCCGCGGUGCAUUAGCUAGUUGGUGAGGUAACGGCUCACCAAGGCGAGGAUCAGUAGCCGGGCUGAGAGGAUGAAAGGCCACAUUGGGACUGAGACACGGCCCAGACUCCUACGGGAGGCAGCAGUGGGGAAUCUUCCGCAAUGGACGAAAGUCUGACCGAGCAACGCCGCGUGAGUGAAGAAGGUUUUCGGAUCGUAAAACUCUGUUGUUAGAGAAGCGGUAUCUAACCAGAAAGCCACGGCUAACUACGUGCCAGCAGCCGCGGUAAUUC
rnacentral:rRNA from 1 species